AUUGAACGCUGGCGGCAUGCUUUACACAUGCAAGUCGAACGGCAGCGCGGGCUUCGGCCUGGCGGCGAGUGGCGAACGGGUGAGUAAUGCAUCGGAACGUGCCCAGUAGUGGGGGAUAGCCCGGCGAAAGCCGGAUUAAUACCGCAUACGACCUGAGGGUGAAAGCGGGGGACCGAAAGGCCUCGCGCUAUUGGAGCGGCCGAUGUCGGAUUAGCUAGUUGGUGGGGUAAAGGCUUACCAAGGCGACGAUCCGUAGCUGGUCUGAGAGGACGACCAGCCACACUGGGACUGAGACACGGCCCAGACUCCUACGGGAGGCAGCAGUGGGGAAUUUUGGACAAGGGGGUCAACCCUGAUCCAGCCAUGCCGCGUGCGGGAAGAAGGCCUUCGGGUUGUAAACCGCUUUUGUUCGGGAAGAAAUCCUCUGGGCUAAUACCCCGGGGGGAUGACGGUACCGGAAGAAUAAGCACCGGCUAACUACGUG
rnacentral:rRNA from 1 species